UAGCUCAGCCUGGCAGAGCGCCUGGCUCAUAACCAGGUAGUCGUGGGUUCAAAUCCCUC
rnacentral:tRNA from 1 species